AACAGGAUUUGUAAACCUUAAAAAUAAAAUACAUGUUGAAAAAGUACACACAAAUCACCUGGUACGCACACACAAAACUGCAGUUACACACAAAUCCGGUUACGAGUGCACAACUAUUUUUGAGACUCAUUUCACGCCUCGGUGGAAGCUCCAAGAUUUGUGUGUAGAUGGUGCGUUUACAUGCUAGUAAAAGCUGGGACAUCUGAGUUUUCUUCGGAACUGUUUCUUUUUUCCAUAGUUCAAUACGUAUUUCUCUCUUUACUUGUCUCGUGGCUUAGACAUAUUUUUGUGAGAGAAAAAUACAUACGUCAUUACACCCACGUCUACUUUUUAAUACUAUAAGAUUGUUUAUAUAUGAAUCCGCAUUUGGGACCUAUACAACUGUAAUUACUUGGGUAAAAAAUUUGACCACUAGGUGGUGGAAGUUUAUUCCGCUCUGACUGGGAAAAGCCUUCAUUCAAACUGAGAGAAGAAACAAGAGAAUGGCGGGUCAGCCGAGUGAUCGUGUUCGUGGUCUACCGUCCGAAGUGGAUGUGGUUAUUCCGUCAGUUUGUCGAAGAAGCGUCUUCAGACAAACUGCGCGAGCUCCUGAGGUUUUGGGUUGGCUGGGAGGUCCCUUGCCAAGAGCUGAAGCUUGAAGUUGUCCUGUCAACUGGACCUAACCAUAUGCCGACGUCUUCAACCUGUAGUGAGCGAUUACGGCUACCAAGUCACUACACCACCUACCAGGCCCUGUCAGCCGACAUGAAUGUGUGUCUGAAAUCAGUAGAGAUAGGCUUUGGUCUUAUUUGAUAAAUAUGUAUUGAUGUUUCAUUUGUUGAAAAAUUGCAGUUCGACAUGGCAAGUCAGUUAAAAUAGAAAGUAAUUUUAUUAUUAGCCUUGCAUUUUUUUUUAUUUUUUUUUUUACAAAUAAUGUCCAUCAACACAGUCUUGACAGGAAGUUGUGUUCCUGAGGUGACUACUAAAUGUUUGUCAGGCAUCCCUGUUCAUCAUGUGGUUUUUUGCUGAAAUAUUCCACAAAUGUUUGGCAUUCAAACAUAAAAUAAUUUUCAUGUUUCUGGUGUACAUUAAACUUUAUAAAGUUAA